rnacentral:rRNA from 1 species
CUACGGGGGGCAGCAGUGGGGAAUAUUGGACAAUGGGGGAAACCCUGAUCCAGCAAUGCCGCGUGUGUGAAGAAGGCCUGCGGGUUGUAAAGCACUUUCGGUUGGGAGGACUGCUUCUAGCACUAAUAUUGUUGGAAGUUGACGUUACCUUCAGAAGAAGCACCGGCUAACUCCGUGCCAGCAGCCGCGGUAAUACGGGAGGGUGCAAGCGUUAAUCGGAAUUACUGGGCGUAAAGCGCGCGUAGGCGGCUAGAUCAGUCGGGUGUGAAAGCCCCGGGCUUAACCUGGGAACUGCAUCCGAUACUGUCUAGCUUGAGUACAGGAGAGGAGAGUGGAAUUCCACAUGUAGCGGUGAAAUGCGUAGAUAUGAGGAGGAACACCAAUGGCGAAGGCAGCUCUCUGGCCUGAUACUGACGCUGAGGUGCGAAAGCGUGGGGAGCAAACAGGAUUAGAUACCCUUGUAGUC